rnacentral:rRNA from 1 species
GACGAACGCUGGCGGCGUGCCUAAUACAUGCAAGUUGAGCGAUGAAGAUUGGUGCUUGCACCAAUUUGAAGAGCAGCGAACGGGUGAGUAACGCGUGGGGAAUCUGCCUUUGAGCGGGGGACAACAUUUGGAAACGAAUGCUAAUACCGCAUAACAACUUUAAACAUAAGUUUUAAGUUUGAAAGAUGCAAUUGCAUCACUCAAAGAUGAUCCCGCGUUGUAUUAGCUAGUUGGUGAGGUAAAGGCUCACCAAGGCGAUGAUACAUAGCCGACCUGAGAGGGUGAUCGGCCACAUUGGGACUGAGACACGGCCCAAACUCCUACGGGAGGCAGCAGUAGGGAAUCUUCAGCAAUAGACGAAAGUCUGACCGAGCAACGCCGCGUGAGUGAAGAAGGUUUUCGGAUCGUAAAACUCUGUUGGUAGAGAAGAACGUUGGUGAGAGUGGAAAGCUCAUCAAGUGACGGUAACUACCCAGAAAGGGACGGCUAACUACGUG